CCCAAACUUAACCAUUGGUGCUAGGGG
rnacentral:piRNA from 1 species